GAAAUCAAAUUAAAAUUGUAUAAAAACAAAUAUCUAUAUACAUUCACAUGUGUGAUGAGUCAUAUUUUGAAAUAAUAUCAAGAAAAUAAAAGAGAAGAAAUACAUUUUAUUUCAUGAUAUAAAAUCAUGCUGAGUGUUGCUCAUGUGAGCCAUGAUGACAUGAGGUGAUGACUGUGUUUGAUAUGAAGCUGAAUCCAGUGUAUGUAGUGAACUUUGUGCUGAUGAGUAGUUUAGUGAUCAGAGUCCAUGUAGUUUCCAGGAUCAGACUGAAUGCAGUGCAGUGCUGGAAGCUGCUGCUGACUGUGUGAAUGUGUGUCUGUGCUGCUUGUUGCUGCUGUCAAACUUCAGAUGAGCAGGUAGUGAAGCCCGUGGUGAGCGUGUACCCAGCAGCAUCCAGAGCCCACCUGGAGGGGAACAGCUCCCUGCUGUGUGUGGCCUCAGCCAUGUUUCCUCCUCUGGUCCAGUUCUCCUGGAAAAGACAGAAGAAGAACGGCGGAGAAGCGGAGGAGCUGCCCCCUGCUGAGGGAGAGCAGCUGGAGCUCAGAGAGGCGGGACGCACCAUUGCCAUCAGGAUGGUUGAUGGGAGCCAUUCUGACACAUAUAAAUACAGCUGCUGGGUGAAGCACGAGGGGGGCACAGUGGAGGCCCGAACACAACAAGAGCUUCCAGCUCCAGCAGCCUCCUGUCCUCCAGAGAGAGAGCCAGCAGACCUGCCAGCUCUGCAGCCAGCUGACUGUAAGAUCACCUGCUGCCUCUCUGCAUGGACAGCUCCAAUGUCCAAUGAGGCAGCUGGAACAAGUUUAGGCUCUUAAAGUUGCACUAAUUGAUCAAAUCUUCAUCCAACAAGCUCUGAUAAAGCCACUGUACACUAGCUGCUCAGCACCAAACAGCAGACAGACCAUAAUAUGUCAGAGAUCAGUUUGUUAGCUGCUUGUGGAGUUCUUCUGCCCCCAAGUGGACACAAACACUACAUCAAUUCAUCCACUUGAAGAAGAAGCUGUGACUGUUUCUAUUUGGACUUUUUCUCCUUGAUCUGAGAGGAAUAACCCGACUGUCUGUCUGUCUCUUUGUGUCUGUCUGUCCUUCAGUGUCCU
ensembl:lncRNA